UCCUUCCCUCGAUGCCUCCUCACGCCGAACCCGUGCCUUUCCUCCCGAUUCCCCCUGCGACGCCGAAGCCCUAACUGUCGUUCUCUCUUGCGAUGACAGUUCCCUGCUUCACGAAUUAAAGCCAAACCGAUCCCCACUCCUCUUCGUCUUCUCGACUUUGCCCAGAUUCCGCUCCUCUAGUUGAUGCGACACCAACCCUUGAUCCACCUCUGCCGGCCACCAAGUCCGACCAGUGUCGUCGACGCCUGUGCCCUAGCACCGCCGGGUGUCGCUCCUCCUCAGUCCUAAAGCUGGCCUCUCCUUCUCUUCCUUUCCAAGCCGCACCGGACGGCGCCACCCCUUGAGGCCGAAGGGAGCAACGCUGAAACUGCACGGUGCCGCUUCUCUGCAUUACCGCCACUUGCCAUAGCCGACGCCACUGCCUUUUUCCCCACAGCGAGUUCUUCCACCCCCGACACACCCGUGCCCUGGCACUGUCGCUGGAUCCUUGAUCAUCCCUUCCUUGCGGUGGAUUUAGGUCACGAUUGAGCAAAGCUUUAAUCCAACAGCUGCUCAUAUUAGGUCCAGCAGCAACGAUCCUUGCUAUUGAGUCACAACGACUGUGGUUGAGGAUUUUGACACGAGACGAGUAUCUCGAUUAUCGGAUUGGACCAUUUCGAUU